GAUGACUCGGAUCUUUUAGCCAGAGUGAUUAAGGUCUACGUACAGGCAUUCAGGAAUGAGCUGAAGUGUUGUCUGGACAAAAAGGUGUCGAUACCACAUAAUAACCCAUACUUAGCGGUAUUGCUACUCUUGAGACAGGUCAACAAAUCGCAUGGGUACAAGGUUCCAGUGAAUCAGUUUUACAUCCUUCAACCAGGAGAUGAAGAAACAAAUAGGAAGAUCGAGAAUCAUCUUCUUGGGAAUCAUCAACAGCAUUUGCAACCCCCUCUCCUGGGUCUCCUUCCAUUAGGUGUCCUGCUUUUUCUACUGGAUGUACAUCUGAAGUGGAAAACGCUGUGUAUGGACUUUGACUAUGCA